rnacentral:rRNA from 1 species
UGGGGAAUAUUGGACAAUGGGCGAAAGCCUGAUCCAGCCAUGCCGCGUGUGGGAAGAAGGUCUUCGGAUUGUAAAGCACUUUAAGUUGGGAGGAAGGGCAGUAAGCGAAUACCUUGCUGUUUUGACGUUACCGACAGAAUAAGCACCGGCUAACUCUGUGCCAGCAGCCGCGGUAAUACAGAGGGUGCAAGCGUUAAUCGGAAUUACUGGGCGUAAAGCGCGCGUAGGUGGUUCGUUAAGUUGAAUGUGAAAGCCCCGGGCUCAACCUGGGAACUGCAUCCAAAACUGGCGAGCUUGAGUAGGGCAGAGGGUGGUGGAAUUUCCUGUGUAGCCGUGAAAUGCGUAUAUAUAGGAAGGAACACCAGUGGCGAAGGCGACCACCUGGGCUCAUACUGACACUGAGGUGCGAAAGCGUGGGGAGCAAACAGG